rnacentral:rRNA from 1 species
GACGAACGCUGGCGGCGUGCUUAACACAUGCAAGUCGAACGAUGAUGCCAGCUUGCUGGUGGAUUAGUGGCGAACGGGUGAGUAACACGUGAGCAACCUGCCCCUGACUUCGGGAUAACCGCGGGAAACCGUGGCUAAUACCGGAUAUGACGCGCUAUCGCAUGGUGGUGUGUGGAAAGAUUUAUCGGUUGGGGAUGGGCUCGCGGCCUAUCAGCUUGUUGGUGGGGUGAUGGCCUACCAAGGCGACGACGGGUAGCCGGCCUGAGAGGGUGUCCGGCCACACUGGGACUGAGACACGGCCCAGACUCCUACGGGAGGCAGCAGUGGGGAAUAUUGCACAAUGGGCGCAAGCCUGAUGCAGCGACGCCGCGUGAGGGAUGACGGCCUUCGGGUUGUAAACCUCUUUCAGUAGGGAGGAAGGCCUUCGGGUUGACGGUACCUGCAGAAGAAGCGCCGGCUAACUACGUG